CACAAGAUUUUUCCUGACAAACAAAACUGCAAGUUUUCUUCUUUAGCUAGGCCUGUCGCAAUUAUUUGAUUUAAUCGUGUUUAUUUUUGAUGACCACGAUUAUCAAACAUUUUCUGUCUUGUGUCUUUAAAAUCUCCCUGCACGUGCCGCAUUGCAUGCUGUGUGCGCUGAGCAGGUAUGUGCAUAAAGUUCAAAUGACGCUGCUCUGCUAAUUUCUCCAUCAACUAAGUCAUAUCACUGUGCGAAUUCUACCAAGUUGGGUCUAAUUUCAAAGCCAAACACAACGGCACCAAUCUGGGCACAUUUGGAAAUGCUCCAGAACUUUGACAACAGUAUGAAUUGCCAGAAAAAACAUAAACAGAUUUUUAUUCAGCCACUACAGACAUGUGGUCAAGCGCAAAUAUGACCCCAUCCAUGAGCUUAACAAUAGAUGAUCUCACAACUGACUGGACUCUUGAGUCAAACUGUUUGGAAACAAGAUACACCCCAGAGAACCAUACAGCUGAUACACUUGUAGAAUCUCUGAAGUACAUAUUAACAGAUUGAGCUUUGGAUGAGAAAAAAAUGUCCUGCAUAACCACAGAUAAUGGUCCCAAUAUCGUGGCUGCAAUAGGCAAACUUGGUAUCCCAUGGCUGAAUUGCUUUGGCCAUAAUCUCCAUUUGGCUGUCACAAAUGCCAUAGCAAGUGAGAAGGAAUGCACAGCCCAUGCCCUUGGACUGUGUAAAAGUCUGGUCAACACUUUCAAAAUGAGCUGGCUAAAUUAUAGAGACCUGAAAAAGGCACAGACUGAGGCCAACAUCCCCCAAUAUAGUUUGGUUCUGGAUGUCACUACACGAUGGGGUACCAAGCAAAAAAUUAUUGACUGAGUUCUGUAACAUCUACCUGCAAUCAGAUGUGUCCUGAUUGAUGACAGCAAACAUGGGCACCUAAACCCAACCUGGCAGGAUAUAUUGGUCCUUGAGUCCUUUAAUGCAGCACUGAAACCCGUGGCUGAUUUCACAGAUGUUCGAAAAGUAUGUGACGGUGUCUUCUGUGAAGCCUGCAAUGGGACUUUUAAAAGGAGAGCUCUUAUCCCCUGACCCCAAGGACACAACUCUUACAGCAAAUAUCAAGAUAAAAAAAUGUGUGCUGUUCUUGAUGAAAAGUAUAGCUCAGCUGCACUUCAAGAGCUCCUGAGAAAGACCACUCUUCUUGACCCAAGAUACAGGGGCCACUUUGCAGAAGCUGCAGUAGUGGAUUACACUAAAGACCAGCUUUUAAAGGAGAUAAUGAAGAUGACAGAGGAAACACAUGGAAGUGAAGAAGCAGUCCUGCCGGCAGGCCCAGUCACCAUAUGGAGAGAAAAUGAUAUUGGCUCUCUGGCAAAAAGCUAAUCAUAACAGGAACACAAACGAAGAUUUUUAAAAGAAUAUCUCAGCUCUGAAGGUCCAUACAAUGCAAGUGAAUGGUGAUCAGAACUCUGAAGGUCCAAAAAGCACAUAAAGGCAGUGUAAAAGUAAUCCAUAUGUGAUGAGGAGGAGGGAGUGGCUGGGCCAUGAGGACGCAUACCCGGUGCUGAAUUGUCCUAAUCAGCCGGGAGGGGGAUAAAGACAAGCCGGGGGCGCCAGUUCGAGAGAGAGAGAGAGAGAGAGAGAGAGAGAGAGAGAGAGAGAGA